CACUAAUCACCCAAUGAUGGUCGGUAGCAGAAAGAACUAGUCUAGCCGAAAGCUGAGUAUUUUAAGUGUAAGAAGGAGCACUUCGGAAACGAAGUGUUAACGAAGUAUGACAGUAGCUCACUCCUAUCUGGCAAUCCUUUUUUAGAGUACUACAUCUGUUGGCAGAUGAUUGAACCAAAGGCGGGCGAAGUUAGCCCGCGCUCAAACCGCUGUGAACAAAGUUAUUCGAUUAUCGGGUGGAAAAUAAAACUGAUUAAUCUUCGACAUUGUGACUACGCAAUUCGUUGGUGGAGCCAACACAUUAUUAUUGGAACCAAGGGGUUUCACUACCCCAUCGUUCUCUCCAUGAAGGAAAAGUCUUUCGAUAUAUUUCAAGAAGCUAAGCAAUAAUCAAACUUGUAUUUGAUUAAAGAUAAUUUUUUGUUUUUUGAUACUGUGUUAGGCCGUUUUUAAAACUUACACCUCCCUCCAUCUCGUGAGGAAGAAAAGUAUAUUCAAACGAUUUUGACCAACACCAUUGGGUAUUGAGAACUGUCAAAUUAUCAACCUGUUUUGUUUACAAACCGACGCGAAAAUCAUCGACGGUGCAUGCUUGUCGUCAAUGUUUCACGGUUUUAUAACGAAGAUCGCGUGUUAACCGGCGGUAAAUUGAGGCCAAAAUCCUGUCCAGCGAAGGAAAUCUCCCUGGUGCGCACGUAGCAGCCGUUCCGUUUCAUUUAUCGGUGUGAUUGCCUAUGGACUUUCGAGUAGGAUCAGCUGAGAGGAGAGAAUUCGUUUGCUGAAGAAGAUUAAGGAUGAUUGGCCGGGUGUGAAUUCAUUCUUUGCAUCCGGACGACUUUGUGAAUGGACUCCGGUUUCAAAUCACAAACCGAAAAUAUCCCGAGAAGCUUACCAGACUCGUCGGCCAGUUCAUACGAGCUGGUACCCACCCUUGCAAGGACGGUGCAAGGUACA